AGCGCAUUGGUCAAGCUGGGUGAUUGACACAUCUAUAGAACCGUCAGAGCCAGUAGAAUCAACGGACAGCAUCAAAAUCCCUCCCAAGCACACCAUUCGCUAUCUGUGAGGGGGCGAAUCCACUGUGACGCCUUUUUCCCCCGCCGCCGUUUGACGUGUAACUUCCGCAUCGAAGUGUGACGGACCAGGCCGAUUUAAUAUCUUGAAAUGAGGAGCGGCCUUUGUGCUCGCUAACGGCAUCGCAUUUCUGGAUCAAAACACAACUUUUUCCUGCAAAUACUUCCACGGCCAAGUUCGGGGCUGGUGCCAGGACUUUAGGGGCAUAGAUCCUGGAAGCUGUCUGGUGUGGCGAGUAAUGCUGACUGAGCAAUGGUUGGAGGUGAAUAGUCCACGCCACUGACCUGAAACACUGGGACAUCACCGACGUCCUUACACAAGAGAAACGAAUGGCAGGUUAGCCACACCUCUGGAAGCCUAGAACCCACUGGUAAAAAGAGUCUUAAAUGAAGCAAACCCCUGUGGAGAAGCUAGCCCAAAGCCUUUGAGAUCAGUGAAAGAAGAUGCUGUUAUACCACUUGGAUUUUCCCCUGAAGUCUUCAAGAAAUAAGUCAAGCAUUUCGACCAUCCCUUCCUAACUUGUAUAUGUGCAUUUACUUUAGACCAGCGGAAGACUGAAGGUGGAUACUGUUGACACUGGUUCCAGUUAUUAUUGCCGGAAUCUUCUCUCUAUAUCACAUGAAUCUAUACUUUGCAAGGUGACUUUGUGUGAAACGUAAUAAGUGUGUGUAACUCUCACAUGUUCGAGGGACUGCAGUAUUUAUCAUGUUUAUUUCAAUUGUUGUAUCAAUCAAUAUGCAAUUUUAUGAGGCAAUUGCCUUUACAAGUGUAAAGUAAAAACAGAAAAUAGGCCAAACGUGGUCAAAAAACUGUUGUUAUAAUAUGACUAUUGUUGUUAUAUUUCUGUACAAUUUUGACAGUAACCAUGAAUCUAUAAAACCAGAGAUUCCUGAAAAACUAAAACAAACAAAAAAAACUACAACCUGAAAAACAGAGAAAGGAGAGACCAGAGUGGAGGACCAGAUAUAUGGAAGCAUUUUCACAACCAGCUGAUCAGGCACAGCAUAUUAGACAAUGUGUAGAAGAGGACUUGGCGACCCGUGUCCCCCACCUUUCAAAUCCCAUCUCCCUCAAUGAAAUCAGGUGUCAAAGUUUGCAGAGGAUGUAGUGAAAACAAGCCAAACUGGAUCACGUCUGGAGCUGUCACAGCUGUUGAGAGGGGCAGUAAAAUAACCUAAUAAAGAAGAGAGACUUGUCUUCAGUUCAGUGUGGACAGCCGGGCAGAAACACUUUACAAUGUCAUCAGUGCAUGAGAUCGUUAACUAGUAAACCCCUUUUCAACAUCUUUAAGGCACAACGGUAAUUCUGUGUUGUGUGUGUAGAACGAUUUGAGAAGCAGUAUAUAAAGUGUUAUAUUAUUAUAAAAUUCAGAUGGCAAAUGGUUGAUGUGAUAGAAAAUUCCCAAACAAAGCCUUUCAAAUACUGAUUUUACAUCAAGCGCUCUCCCAAAAAACUGUGAUGUAAUGAACUACAGUAUGACAUAACGACAAAAGCAGUUUCAUUAAUUCAUUCCUAAGAUUUCAGACCAAAAAGGGUUUGGUCCGAGUGUUGCUAGGAAAAAAACAUAUGCAGUUAUGAUUUGAGGAAUGAAAACAGCUUCUUUUGACAUAUUUUCUAAAAACUACAAGCUGAGUUUCUAAGACUUCACCAUUGUGUCAGUAGGACUGCAAAACAGCCCUGAAAUCAUACAUGAGGCCCGGGGUCCUCCAGAGAAAAAUAGUUUUUCCAGAAUAUUUUUAUCACUUUCUUUAACAUUGUGUUUUUUGACAUGUACGCCAAUUUCCUUGGGAAUAAUUAAUGUUGAUGAAAUCUUGAUGAAAAAAAUACUGAAACAUUAAGGGGACUGGUAUCUAUGAUGUGUGCAAUUUGAUGCGGCUUGAUUGAAUUUAAUGAGACUGUUGGCAGAGGUAUGCAAUCUCCUGAGUGCCAUUCUAGUUUGAAAUGUUUUAAUCUGUCUUUGCUGCAGAGCACUUCCAUUUGUUCAGUCAUAAACACUUAAAUCUAGAACAAGCAAUUUGUCAUAACUACAGUAAUGAGACUAAAACUUGUGUUCUCCAGGUAACUAUGUGACUACUGUGCUAUAUUUAUUAUCUGUCAUACAGUCACUCAAAGAAUAAGAUAAGAAGCAAGGGGAAAUACUGUGUACAGUAGACAUUACAAAUUCAAACACCUCUGCGAUAUAUCACAAAAAUGUUAUAUGAUUCCAAAUUGUGUAAUUACACAGUACAUGUAAUAUUUAGUGGGGUAGGGUGUCUUACAUAUAGGUUGGAUUAACUACACAGAGGUUUAAAAAAACAACAACUGACAACCAAGCUUGGCAGCAACGCUACAAUGAUUUUAAACACAGUGCAAAAAUCUUAAGAGUUUAAAAAAUAUAUAUUUCUACUACCUGACCAAGUGUGUCCCUGGACUCGAAUCCAAUAAAAUUUUCCUAAUGGGAAGGAAAAGUAUAAAAAAUCCUCCAGAAAAGAGUAUUACAUAGAUUUGUGAAAGACUUGUUUCAUGCAUAUCAUAAGAGGAUAAAAUAUGUCAUCAAAAAUAAAGGUGGGUGCACAAUAUUUAUAUAUACAGUAAUACGAGAAUAAUUUCACUAAUGAGAAAAACAGAUUUUUCUUGCUGCAGUUGUUUUCUUUAAUAAUGUUUCAUUAAAGUGUUGUUAGUCAAA